CCUACGGGAGGCAGCAGUGAGGAAUAUUGGUCAAUGGACGCAAGUCUGAACCAGCCAUGCCGCGUGCAGGAAGACGGCUCUAUGAGUUGUAAACUGCUUUUGUACGAGGGUAAACGCAGAUACGCGUAUCUGUCUGAAAGUAUCGUACGAAUAAGGAUCCGCGAACUCCGUGCCAGCCGCCGAGGUAAUAUGGAGGAUUCAAGCGUUUUCCGGAUUUAUUGGGUUUAAAGGGUGCGUAGGCGGUCGGAUAAGUUAGAGGUGAAAUCCCGAGGCUCAACUUCGGAAUUGCCUCUGAUACUGUUCGGCUAGAGAGUAGUUGCGGUAGGCGGAAUGUAUGGUGUAGCGGUGAAAUGCUUAGAGAUCAUACAGAACACCGAUUGCGAAGGCAGCUUACCAAGCUACUUCUGACGUUGAGGCACGAAAGCGUGGGGAGCAAACAGGAUUAGAUACCCGAGUAGUC
rnacentral:rRNA from 1 species